GCGAGGAUGACGAUGACGCCAAAGAUGACGAGGCCCCGAGCUCAAGCACGACCAAUACGAUGCACUGCACAAAGGCCCCUGCUUCCUGCCUGCCCUUCCCUUUGCUUGGGUUGAGUCCAAGCACAAGUAAGCACCAUUAUUAGGCGAGAAGAUGACGGUGACGCAGAGGAGGACGAGGACCCGCGCUCCAGCCCGACCACGACUAUGCACCGCACGGUCCCUGCUUCCUGGCUGUCGCCAAUUGCCCCCUUCCCUUUACAGUACUACUCUAUUUAUUUUCAUUGCUUUUCACCCAGUUUUGCACACUUUCUGGCCCUUCCCUUUUUUGUGUGCAAAUGUUCUGAUCGCCUCCAUAUGGCUGUUUCCGUCCUCCUGCUCGUGCUGUCUCCAUCCUCCUGCUCAAGUCGUCGCCGUCGCCUCCCAUCCUUCAUGGCCUGCGUGUGUGCACCCACUGUUGGAGGACGACGUUGAACAUGAAGCGGAGCCCAGCCGGAGCGGUCUGACGCGGUGGUCGUGGCCAAUGAGCGGUGGUCGAUGCCAUGGAGCAGGGGCCCUCGGUCGCCUGCACAUCGGCUGCGUUCUGAACUAAUGCUUUCUGCAACUGCAAUGUUCCCCUUCACAUUGUAUCUUGUGUAGGCAGAAGGAAUGCAGCUCAGUGACGGUGUCGGCUACAACUGGAUCGAUGGCCUGAAGGCUUUUACUAAGAAGAUGAAGAAUGUUGUAGAAUAGUGUCCAUCAACAAAGAGUCUUACUACUACCGGUUUGAGAGGCUCUAUCCUCAGACAUGAAAACGGAAGGUCGAGAGGUUUAAAUAUGUCAUGAUGUUUACAAUUGCGGAUAUCCUGCUUCAGGUACUUGCCUGAUAACUCACAAUUUCAACACAGAAGUUACUAAUCUGUAAGACAUGCCCUCUCUCAUUCAAUGAUGUCCUGAAAUUUUCACACAAAGCUUUGUAAUCUUGCCAAGUCACAAGAGAGCCAAGUAAUCAUGCGAAUUUUCAGAGAACUUCAAGUGGCAUGCCACCAUUUGCAAUGGUUGUGAUGUAGUGAUAAUUAAUAAACUGCAGGCCUUCUAAAUAUUCUAAAGUUGCAUAUCUAAGAGCAUAUUAUAUUUCUCAUAAACAACUGGAGUUAAGCUUCUAUCCUCUUCCUGUCUUGAAGGAAUUAUCUGUUGAGUAAGCUACAGUCUCUUUGUUUGACUAGCUAGGCUGUGUUACAUACAUGUAUAAGAUGAUGCUUCUGUGGCUAUAACUGGUGCCUGCCGCGCUAAAUAGGAAACACCCUAUUAAUUACCCACCUCAAUUUCAUUAGUGCGUCCGGCCUGUGAAUUUUACCCCAG